rnacentral:misc_RNA from 1 species
UGUGAGUGGUGUUUGGGAUGUGUGUGUCGGCUGGCUCCGUGCUUUCCGCAUCGAACUGUCGACCCUCACUCCUCUUCAAUCUUUCCCCCGCGGUCGUUGCGCGGGGGGUGCGAUGGGUAUCCUGUGCUGCUUUCCUAUAACGCGAUGGAAUUCGGUUGUCGUGCCGUCCCUUGUCCACCCGGCGGCCUUACGGGCCGCGAGAUGGACGUCACUCGUGCCCGGUGUCCGCGGUGCGCCCCCGAAUUCGGCUCGGCCGCCUCGGGGCACCGGUGCAUGACCGUGCUUACGGGUGCGGGAAGCUAUGUGGGCUUGGGGCCACGGCCCCGUUCGUUCGACGCGAUGCGUUCUGUCCCUCGAUACGCACGACGCUCGUGCCCCGUCUUGGACUCUUCGUUGCCCGCGCGGCGCGUUGCGGCCCAUGCGGAGCCGGGGUCGCG